AGUGCGUAAUAGCUCACUAGUCGAGUGACACUGCGCCGAAAAUGUACCGGGGCUAAACAUAUUACCGAAGCUGUGGAUUGUCCUUUGGACAAUGGUAGGAGAGCGUUCUAAGGGCGUUGAAGCAUGAUCGUAAGGACAUGUGGAGAGCUUAGAAGUGAGAAUGCCGGUGUGAGUAGCGAAAGACGGGUGAGAAUCCCGUCCACCGAUUGACUAAGGUUUCCAGAGGAAGGCUCGUCCGCUCUGGGUUAGUCGGGUCCUAAGCUGAGGCCGACAGGCGUAGGCGAUGGAUAACAGGUUGAUAUUCCUGUACCACCUAUAAUCGUUUUAAUCGAUGGGGGGGACGCAGUAGGAUAGGCGAAGCGUGCGAUUGGAUUGCACGUCUAAGCAGUAAGGCUGAGUAUUAGGCAAAUCCGGUACUCAUUAAGGCUGAGCUGUGAUGGGGAGAAGACAUUGUGUCUUCGAGUCGUUGAUUUCACACUGCCGAGAAAAGCCUCUAGAUAGAAAAUAGGUGCCCGUACCGCAAACCGACACAGGUAGUCAAGAUGAGAAUUCUAAGGUGAGCGAGCGAACUCUCGUUAAGGAACUCGGCAAAAUGACCCCGUAACUUCGGGAGAAGGGGUGCUCUUUAGGGUUAACGCCCAGAAGAGCCGCAGUGAAUAGGCCCAAGCGACUGUUUAUCAAAAACACAGGUCUCUGCUAAACCGUAAGGUGAUGUAUAGGGGCUGACGCCUGCCCGGUGCUGGAAGGUUAAGAGGAGUGGUUAGCUUCUGCGAAGCUACGAAUCGAAGCCCCAGUAAACGGCGGCCGUAACUAUAACGGUCCUAAGGUAGCGAAAUUCCUUGUCGGGUAAGUUCCGACCCGCACGAAAGGCGUAACGAUUUGGGCACUGUCUCAACGAGAGACUCGGUGAAAUCAUAGUACCUGUGAAGAUGCAGGUUACCCGCGACAGGACGGAAAGACCCCGUGGAGCUUUACUGUAGCCUGAUAUUGAAAUUCGGCACAGCUUGUACAGGAUAGGUAGGAGCCUUUGAAACGUGAGCGCUAGCUUACGUGGAGGCGCUGGUGGGAUACUACCCUAGCUGUGUUGGCUUUCUAACCCGCACCACUUAUCGUGGUGGGAGACAGUGUCAGGCGGGCAGUUUGACUGGGGCGGUCGCCUCCUAAAAGGUAACGGAGGCGCUCAAAGGUUCCCUCAGAAUGGUUGGAAAUCAUUCAUAGAGUGUAAAGGCAUAAGGGAGCUUGACUGCGAGACCUACAAGUCGAGCAGGGUCGAAAGACGGACUUAGUGAUCCGGUGGUUCCGCAUGGAAGGGCCAUCGCUCAACGGAUAAAAGCUACCCCGGGGAUAACAGGCUUAUCUCCCCCAAGAGUUCACAUCGACGGGGAGGUUUGGCACCUCGAUGUCGGCUCAUCGCAUCCUGGGGCUGUAGUCGGUCCCAAGGGUUGGGCUGUUCGCCCAUUAAAGCGGUACGCGAGCUGGGUUCAGAACGUCGUGAGACAGUUCGGUCCCUAUCCGUCGUGGGCGUAGGAAAUUUGAGAGGAGCUGUCCUUAGUACGAGAGGACCGGGAUGGACAUACCUCUGGUGUACCAGUUGUCGUGCCAACGGCAUAGCUGGGUAGCUAUGUGUGGACGGGAUAAGUGCUGAAAGCAUCUAAGCAUGAAGCCCCCCUCAAGAUGAGAUUUCCCAACUUCGGUUAUAAGAUCCCUCAAAGAUGAUGAGGUUAAUAGGUUCGAGGUGGAAGCAUGGUGACAUGUGGAGCUGACGAAUACUAAUCGAUCGAAGACUUAAUCAAAUU
rnacentral:rRNA from 1 species